rnacentral:rRNA from 1 species
UGGGGAAUUUUGGACAAUGGGCGAAAGCCUGAUCCAGCAAUGCCGCGUGUGUGAAGAAGGCCUUCGGGUUGUAAAGCACUUUUGUCCGGAAAGAAAUCCUUGGCUCUAAUACAGUCGGGGGAUGACGGUACCGGAAGAAUAAGCACCGGCUAACUACGUGCCAGCAGCCGCGGUAAUACGUAGGGUGCAAGCGUUAAUCGGAAUUACUGGGCGUAAAGCGUGCGCAGGCGGUUUGCUAAGACCGAUGUGAAAUCCCCGGGCUCAACCUGGGGACUGCAUUGGUGACUGGCAGGCUAGAGUAUGGCAGAGGGGGGUAGAAUUCCACGUGUAGCAGUGAAAUGCGUAGAGAUGUGGAGGAAUACCGAUGGCGAAGGCAGCCCCCUGGGCCAAUACUGACGCUCAUGCACGAAAGCGUGGGGGAGCAAACAGGAUUAGAUACCCUGGUAGUCCACGCCCUAAACGAUGUCAACUAGUUGUUGGGGAUUCAUUUCCUUAGUAACGUAGCUAACGCGUGAAGUUGACCGCCUGGGGAGUACGGUCGCAAGAUUAAAACUCAAAUGAAUUGACGGGGUCAUAGCUGUUUCCU